rnacentral:rRNA from 1 species
UACAGGGGGGGCAAGCGUUGUUCGGAAUUACUGGGCGUAAAGGGCUCGUAGGUGGCCAACUAAGUCAGACGUGAAAUCCCUCAGCUUAACUGGGGAACUGCGUCUGAUACUGGAUGGCUUGAGUUUGGGAGAGGGAUGCGGAAUUCCAGGUGUAGCGGUGAAAUGCGUAGAUAUCUGGAGGAACACCGGUGGCGAAGGCGGCGUCCUGGACCAACACUGACACUGAUGAGCGAAAGCCAGGGGAGCAAACGGG